rnacentral:rRNA from 1 species
GGCGGACGGGUGAGUAAUGCUUAGGAAUCUGCCUAUUAGUGGGGGACAACAUUCCGAAAGGAAUGCUAAUACCGCAUACGUCCUACGGGAGAAAGCAGGGGAUCUUCGGACCUUGCGCUAAUAGAUGAGCCUAAGUCGGAUUAGCUAGUUGGUGGGGUAAAGGCCUACCAAGGCGACGAUCUGUAGCGGGUCUGAGAGGAUGAUCCGCCACACUGGGACUGAGACACGGCCCAGACUCCUACGGGAGGCAGCAGUGGGGAAUAUUGGACAAUGGGGGGAACCCUGAUCCAGCCAUGCCGCGUGUGUGAAGAAGGCCUUAUGGUUGUAAAGCACUUUAAGCGAGGAGGAGGC